UCCAAAUAACAUAACACUUCUCUUUUUCACCUGCUAUUGAAGAACUGUUGGCUAAACUGAUUCUACUCCUUCAGCUAUGCACUCUAUUUAAUAAGAAGGAUUUUAGUGGAAAGAAUUGUCUCUUGUUGAGAACAUCUAUCCAUCUGUUCAUCAACAAUGAGGAGUCAUCAUCUACUGUUGACUGCUUUCUUCGUAAUACUCAUGGUGACACCAGGAACAUCUCCAGACACUCCACAUGAUGUAUCCAGCUGUGAGAUUAAUGGAGGUUUCUGUUAUCAUGCUGCCAAGUGUCCCUCGUGCUUUGGUGAAUAUGGGACCUGCAACGUAGAUGUGACUUGCUGUUUUAGAGAGAGCUGGCGUCCUGAAUGUGAAGAAGCAACAAAACCUGUUAACACUUGGACUUCACCACCUUCACCUCCAAAAACCGAUGCUCCCCAGAAAUCCCUCUGUAAUUCUGAUGACUAGAAUAACAUGCCUAUUUGGGUUGCACAGCAUGCUGAUAGGUGAACUUUUCUG